rnacentral:rRNA from 1 species
AGCGAACGCUGGCGGCAGGCCUAAUACAUGCAAGUCGAGCGGCCCUUCGGGGCAGCGGCGGACGGGUGAGUAACGCGUGGAAUAUGCCCUUUGGUACGGAACAACUGAGGGAAACUUCAGCUAAUACCGUAUGUGCCCUUCGGGGGAAAGAUUUAUCGCCAUUGGAGUAGCCCGCGUUGGAUUAGGUAGUUGGUGAGGUA